rnacentral:rRNA from 1 species
CAGUAGCCGCGGUAAUACAGAGGGUGCAAGCGUUAAUCGGAAUUACUGGGCGUAAAGCGCGCGUAGGUGGUUCGCCAAGUUGGAUGUGAAAUCCCCGGGCUCAACCUGGGAACUGCAUCCAAAACUGGCGAGCUAGAGUAUGGUAGAGGGUGGUGGAAUUUCCUGUGUAGCGGUGAAAUGCGUAGAUAUAGGAAGGAACAUCAGUGGCGAAGGCGACCACCUGGACUGAUACUGACACUGAGGUGCGAAAGCGUGGGGAGCAAACAGGAUUAGAUACCCCGGUAGUCCCUGUCUCUUAUAC